rfam:Picea glauca, whole genome shotgun sequence.
CCUGGGAUAGCUUAAUUGGUAGAGCAGAGGACUGAAAAUCUUCACUCCACUAGUUCAAAUCUGGUUCCUGACA